UUGGGUGGUACUAGGUUCCUCAUUCUGGAGGGUCUACGUGAUAGUAAGGAUGUUCGGAGUGGUUUGGUUUUUAAGGAUGCGCAGGGAAUGUUAAUUGAGGUUGGUGUUUUUUACAUGGAGAGGCUUAAACUUGUAUCCUUUUGACCACGGCGGAUGAUGAGGGAAGUAAGUUAGAGCUAGUGCGUAAGGUCGCUCUACGUUUGCUGCAAGUGCUCGGUUUCCUUCAGCAGGAGAAUGUUAUUCAUGCUGAUCUCAAGCCAGAGAACAUACUGUGUCGUUCAGAGGACUUGUCGGCGGGCGUUAAGGUGAUUGAUUUCGGUAACGCAAUCCACUGCGUCUACGACGAGCUGUCGCUCUACUACGAUGACUUUGAGCUGCAGACGUUACUGUAUCGCGCACC